rnacentral:lncRNA from 1 species
GAACCUUUACUUGGACAGUCCUGUGGACAGCGAGCAGGGAAGGAGGUGAGAGGCUGUGAACCCACCUCCCACUGAGCAAGCUUGGCACAGGCACCAAUGCCAGCAAGGGCUUCUGGGCAGAGAAAGUUGGAGCCUGAACAGGAAGGGGUGUGAGAGAGAGUUAGGAGAGCCUGACUUUGCAAAAAACACAGCGGAAGGUUCCUGGGGAGGAAGGACAGUGGCUGGGAGCUGGCGGGAAAAUCCAGUCUUGACUGGAGGGGACCAAGGGAGGCUUCAAGCUACGCCCAGCUCAGUGAGCCACCUCAGACCAGCCAGCGGGGCGAGGACAGGAGCCCGCACCUGGAGUGAGAGGCCCUGGACUCCAGCCCCCGCUCUGCCAUUUACCAGCUGUGUGGCCUCAGAUCCUUCCUGAUGAUUUUAGGCCUCACUCCCUGCAUCUGUAGAAUGGGGUGAUGAUGAGUUCAUGUGAAGAGGGAGUAAGCCUGGCACACAGUAGGUGCUCAGUAAAUGCUUGUGAGGCUGGACCAACCCCUUUCUUGUACUCUUUAUACACUGGGAGGAUUCACGAGACAACAAUUGAGACAGGGUCCUGCUGCUGAGGGAGGUCAGACGCCUGGCCGGUCAAACUCAGGUGUCCUCAAGGCCCUAAUACCUCUCAAUUCACCUGCUUCAGAUCUGAGCUCAACUGAAAAGGCAGUUCAUAAGAGAGCAAGGCAGCACCAGCCUGUGUCUAAGAGGGACAUUCCUGAAAUCCUAGCUGCCUCCUAACAUCGGCCAAGGCGGGCAGAUCACGAGGUCAAGAGAUCAAGACCAUCCUGGCCAACAUGGUGAAACCCCAUCUCUACUAAAAAUACAAAAAUUAGCCGGGCGUGGUGGCACGGGCCUGUAGUCCCAGCCACUCAGGAGACUGAGGCAAGAGAAUCACUUGAACCCAGGAGGCGGAGGUUGCAGUGAGCUGAGAUUGCUGCAUUCCAGUCUGCGUCAGAGUGAGACUCUGUCUCAAAAAAAAAAAAAAAAAAAUAUAUAUAUAUAUAUAUAGAAAGAGAGAGAGAGAGUUAUAGAGGAAAAAACACAGAAUGUGGGUUGAAAAGCUCCAGGCUGUGGACCCAGCAGGGUCCUCAAUUUCCCUCUCAGGGCCUUGUGUUCUCAUUGGUCCGGUGCAGGGGCUUCCUCUGAACAAUGGGAGGGGAACCUUCAAAGCACCCUGUGUGGAAUCCUCCCUGUGACCAUCUGGGCCAGCACAGACAACUGCUGCCAGAGGCCAUCAGAUGGACCAGGCCUAUGAGUUGCUCACUGCCCCUGCUCCUGGCUCAGUGCCGCUUCCGUGGGUCCCCACCUCUCCUGGAGGCAAAAGCUCGUCUUUGGUACCUUCUGCCUUCAGUCAUGCCCAAGGGACUCUGUGACUCUCUCCUGUUCCCAAAAUCUGCCUCAGCCCCAUCCUGCCACUGGGCAGCCACAUCCCCUGCAGCCCCUUCCAGGUCAGAGCCUUUGAUGCCAGGAUGUGCCCUCAGACAAGACUCACUUGCCUCUGACCUAUGCCGCUGGGCUAGCUGCGUGGCAGGGGCCUGAGGUGCUGUCCAUGGGCUGGAGCUGGAACUCCACCUGCAAUCAGCAGACACCCCCAGCUGGAGGCCCCAGAGAGGCGGCGGCCAGGCCCUCUGUUUAUUCCAUCGCCAGGAGGGAACCCCAAGGUGCCCAGUUAACAUCUGUUGACUGACUCAGCUCUGGAGGCUGCUUCAGGCUGGGGAUCCUCAUUGCAGUGCCCACCUUGGGGAUAAAGCAGCCUCUGGCUGGGGAACAGCCAGGCAGAGAAGAUCCAAGAGCCAUCCUGGAUGGUGCAUCCUACAGAGUAGUGGCACUGCCGCCCAGAGAAUCACACUCCACAGGGAAUGAGAGCAACACAUUCCUACCUGGGACCAGGACGCAGCUGGCCCAGGGCGCAACAAAACAGAAAGCAUGGCAGGGCGGAGGAAAAGUGAGAACAGGGAGGAGUGAUCCUAGCUAGCGACUCUAGGCAAGUUUGCCCCCAGCAAGUACACACCCCACCACUGCUCCAAAGCAAAAGCUAUCCCACCUCGGGUGACAAUCCCCGCCAGGAAGCUUUCAGGGCUCUCCGCAAAGCCCACCAUCGCCCCUGAUUCUUGCUCAGAGGAGAGCGUGGCCCUGCUCUCCGGGCAGGCAGGAAAAAACGGAAUGGAGGCUAAAUUCAUAAAAAUCAUGCAGCGUUUUAUUCUGUGGUCCCUACCAACUGCUCACCUGUGCCUUCGUUGCCUGUUACCCUGAGGCCAGGUCUGACAGCUGAUGGCACCUCUCAGCUCAGGGAGGAGCAGUCAGGGCAGCUUGAGGUGUCAGUGGGGCAGAGCUCUUUAGAAACCUCACUUCUCCAGCAAGCUCAAGCCUCAGCCGGCCACGCGAUGAAUGCUUUUACUGUUCUCUUUGAGAAAGGAGGAGAGAAAAAUGUUCAAGGCUCAUGCCAUUUCUGUACUUCCAAAACAAAACAAAAUGCACAAAUCAAAACACCUAUGCCUCUGGCCUCUCUUGUAGCUGACCCAAAUACUGCUGGCUUAUGAGAUAGCCAGGCUGAGGUCAUGAGGACCACCCCAGAGAGGGCGAGAAGGAUAAUAAGGCACCUCCCCAUCUCCAUGGUGGUUCAGGCCCGUGGUUACUGCGGUGGGUCUCAGGGCUGCUGUGUCUUGGUAGGACGGCCCCUCCCUUUUCCUCUUCCAUCAUAGCUGCCUGCCUGUCCUUGGGAAGCAUCUGAUUUGCAGGUACCUGGGUUUCCCAGCCCGGCGCUUGCUGGCUGCAAGAUAGUGUGAUUGUCGCACUGACACUGCACAGGCUGCAAGCUGAGGGGUCGAUGUGGCCCAGGAAGGGCGGGCCCUGUGCAGCUUCCCUGGCUAUGGAUGAAGGUGCAGGCUGCGGAAGGCACGACUGUUCCUGCAGGGAAUGCGUCUCACUGGAGAAGACGAGGUAGCAGGGGAACAGUUACCACCUUCAAGCAGAGACGGAGCCUUGGCAGGGCCGCCCAGGGGAGCCGUGUCGGAAUCAAAUGUCCUGACAGCCUAGAGAGCCAGCCGUGGUGUGCUGGGCUGUGCAUUUUAGGAGAAAGUUAGUACAGCCCAACACAGAGAUGACAGACAGGGGGCUCUGCUGGCAACUCGAGCUCCUCUCCCACCAGGCACCUGGCAAAACCUUGGCCCAGUGGGAUGAGAGAAGCUGUUUCUGAGUUCCUCCUGGAGCAGCCAGGGUAGCCCUGUUUGCUGGUCCCCCUCUGGGGGCCACACUGUGCCUGGGUUCACUUUGACCUGAAAUGGAAUGACCAAUUCUUUGCAUUGGGGCAUGGAUGGUAAGGACGCUCAAUCUUGUCAUCUCGAACUGCUCGAAGUGCAGACUUUUGGUGUCUGUAUCAAUGAUAAUUCUGCAACUGGGCUCUCACUGUGCCUGACGCCCCACUGCACAGCCCUGUGCAAUGCUAGGAGGUAACAGGCUGGCCCCUCAUAGGGCACACCGACCACAGACCCACCUCCCGCUGCCCAAGAACCCAGCUUCUCUACUUUUCAUGGGUGCUCUCCUGGCAUCAGUCCUGACCCACAGACACGAGCGGUUUCUACAGAUGUCCUGGAUUUGGGCGGUACAAGAAUAACCCCCUUUUGCCUUCCACUAGUGUCUCCCCACCUUGCAAGAGGUGAGUGCUCCAUGGGCAUUCCUGCAUCUCACCCUCCAGCUGUUCCCACCCCAUCCACCAAGCACAGACUCUCCUUCCUUCCCAGCCUUGAGCCGGGCUUUUCAUCCCCUCCUUCCCUGCUCAGUCCCUUUGCUGCCCUCUUUCCAGAACAACUGGCUCACUCAGGAAAGUGUUUCUGGCAGACAAGGGCAUCUUAGUUACUGCAGCUGAGGUCGGAGUUCGGCUGCUGUUGCAAAGGGCCUGCAAUUUCCUUUCACGUGGGGCAAGAAGGUGGUGCUCUCUGCAAAACUAACUCAAACCAAACACAGGCAAUGCCUGUUUUAUUAUCUCCCUUAAAAAGUGGAGCAAGCAGGCCAGGUGCAGUGGCUCACGCCUGUAAUCCCAGCACUUUGGGAGGCUGAGGCGGGUGGAUCACCUGAGGUCAGGAGUCCAAGACCAGCCUGGCCAACAUGGUGAAACCCCGUCUCUAUUAAAAAUAUAAAAAUUAGCCAGGCGUGGUGUUGCACACCUGUAAUCUCAGCUACUUGGGAGACUGAGGCAGCAGAAUCGCUCAAACCCGGGAGGCAGAGGUUGCAGCGAGCCGAGAUUACACCACUGCACUCCAACCUGGGCAACAAGAGUGAGACUCUGUCUCAAAAAAAAAAAAAAAGUAGAGCGAGCAUACCAUAUGGAUGUAGACACAGCAUAACCAGGAUUGAUCUCUUCUCACUUUUGCCACGUGGAACUAGGCGGAAGAGCAAAAUGAGAGACAUGUGGAGGCAAUUGCAAUAGACAUGCGCUGCAGAAAAAAUCACAAGAACAUUGCUCUAAGCUUCAGAAUAGGCAGUGAGGUAGCCACAGCCAAAAGUGUACGGAGAAGGGAGGGCUCUGGACUCACUGAGUGUGAAGCCCAGGGACCAGCAGAGCCCCAGGGAGGUGAGUAUGUGUAAGCAGGGGUGGCUGGAAGUGAGCUGUGGUGGUAAGACCACUGAAACAGGAUUUGGCCUGCCACGAACUGGCUGUGUGGCUUGGUUAAACCACUUACCUUCUCUGAGCACCUCAUUUCCUCUGUCCAUCAAGACAGCUGGAUUCAACCUCCUGUUUCCUGUUUUCUUUCCAGCUCUAAUGUCUUUGAUUCUAUGACUAGGAAUUAUGAAAAUGAAGAUACUGACAGAGAACACAAUAAUCCCCUACUUAAACUGCUUUAAAUCUUGCUCUCAUGUGUGAUCUCUUAAUUUGAAUAAUUAGGAAUGUCUGUGCUCUGCUCAAAGUCUGCACUUUGAACAGUUCGAGCUGAGGAGAUGAUUGAGCAUCCUAACUGUCCACGCCCCACUGCAAAGAAUUGGUCAUUUCAUUUCAGGCCAAAGUGAACCCAGGCACAGCAUGGACCCCAAGAGGGACCUGCAAACAGGGCCACCCCCGCCGUUCCAGAAUGAACCCAGAAUCAGCUCCUCUCGCCCCUCUGGGCUGAGGUUUUGCCAGGUGCCUGGUGGGAGCCACCCUGCCUGUUAAUAUUUGUAACUUGGGCUGUAUUAAUUUUUUCUUGAAAUAAACA